AUUGAACGCUGGCGGCAUGCCUUACACAUGCAAGUCGAACGGCAGCACGGGAGCAAUCCUGGUGGCGAGUGGCGAACGGGUGAGUAAUAUAUCGGAACGUGCCCGGUCGUGGGGGAUAACGUAGCGAAAGCUACGCUAAUACCGCAUACGAUCUACGGAUGAAAGCGGGGGAUCGCAAGACCUCGCGCGAUUGGAGCGGCCGAUAUCAGAUUAGGUAGUUGGUGAGGUAAAGGCUCACCAAGCCGACGAUCUGUAGCUGGUCUGAGAGGACGACCAGCCACACUGGGACUGAGACACGGCCCAGACUCCUACGGGAAGCAGCAGUGGGGAAUUUUGGACAAUGGGCGCAAGCCUGAUCCAGCAAUGCCGCGUGCAGGAUGAAGGCCUU
rnacentral:rRNA from 1 species